rnacentral:rRNA from 1 species
CCUACGGGUGGCAGCAGUGGGGAAUCUUGCACAAUGGGCGAAACCCUGACGCAGCGACGCCGCGUGAGUGAGGAAGUACUUCGGUACGUAAAGCUCUAUUAUUAGGGAGGAACAUGUCGGUACCUGACUAUGAACGUCUGGCCAACUACGAACCAGCAGCCCCCGUAAAACGGCGGGGCCAAGCGUUAUCCGGAUUUACUGGGGGGAAAGGGAGCGUGGACGGAAUUGCAAGUCUGAUGUGAAAACCCGAGGCCCAACCUCGGAACGGCAUUGGAAACUGGAUGUCUAGAGUUUCGGAGAGGCAAGUGGAAUUCCAGGUGUAGCGGUGAAAUGCGUAGAUAUCAGGAGGAACACCAGUGGCGAAGGCGGCUUGCUGGACGAUGACUGACGUUGAGGCUCGAAAGCGUGGGGAGCAAACAGGAUUAGAUACCCUGGUAGUC